AGCUUUGCGCAGUGGCAGUUUCAUAGCCAAUGAGAUUUAUCUGAGGCGUGAUUAUUGCUAAUUAAAAUUGGCACCUGAAAUUUGCUUAGGAUCUCUUUAGUUAUGAUUCUCAGGCUAUAUUAAUAAUCCAUUUCUGAUAUAG